UACGGGGGGUGCGAGCGUUGUCCGGAACCACUGGGCGUAAAGGGCGCGUAGGUGGUUUGAUAAGGGUGUGGUGAAAGUCCGGGGCUCAACCCCGGAUCUGCCGUGCCGACUGUCAAACUUGAGGACUGGAGAGGAGACUGGAAUUCAUGGUGUAGCAGUGAAAUGCGUAGAGAUCAUGAGGAAGACCAGUGGCGAAGGCGGGUCUCUGGACAGUUCCUGACACUGAGGCACGAAGGCCAGGGGAGCAAACGGG
rnacentral:rRNA from 1 species